UACAGGGGGUGCAAACGUUGCUCGGAAUCAUUGGGCGUAAAGCGCACGUAGGCGGUUCGUUAUGUCGGAUGUGAAAGCCCUUGGCUUAACCGAGGAAGUGCAUCCGAAACUGGCGAGCUAGAGUACUAAAGAGGAUCGCGGAAUUCCCGGUGUAGAGGUGAAAUUCGUAGAUAUUGGGAAGAACACCGGUGGCGAAGGCGGCUCUCUGGACCGUAACUGACGCUGAGGCGCGAAAGCGUGGGGAGCAAACAGG
rnacentral:rRNA from 1 species